rnacentral:rRNA from 1 species
CCUACGGGAGGCAGCAGUGGGGAAUAUUGCACAAUGGGGGAAACCCUGAUGCAGCGACGCCGCGUGAGUGAAGAAGUAAUUCGUUAUGUAAAGCUCUAUCAGCAGGGAAGAAAAUGACAGUACCUGUGUAAUAAGCCCUGGCUAACUACGUUCCAGCAGCCGCGGUAAUCCGUAGGGGGCAAGCGUUAUCCGGAUUUACUGGGUGUAAAGGGAGCGUAGACGGCAGUGCAAGUCUGGAGUGAAAGUCGGGGGCUCAACCCCCGGACUGCUCUGGAAACUGGACGGCUGGAGUGCAGGAGAGGUAAGUGGAAGUCCUGGUGUAGCGGUGAAAUGCGUAGAUAUUAGGAGGAACACCAGUGGCGAAGGCGGCUUACUGGACUGUAACUGACGUUGAGGCUCGAAAGCGUGGGGAGCAAACAGGAUUAAAUACCCUUGUAGUC